AGUGAACGCUGGCGGUAGGCCUAACACAUGCAAGUCGAACGGCAGCACAGUAAGAGCUUGCUCUUACGGGUGGCGAGUGGCGGACGGGUGAGGAAUACAUCGGAAUCUACUUUUUCGUGGGGGAUAACGUAGGGAAACUUACGCUAAUACCGCAUACGACCUACGGGUGAAAGCAGGGGAUCUUCGGACCUUGCGCGAUUGAAUGAGCCGAUGUCGGAUUAGCUAGUUGGCGGGGUAAAGGCCCACCAAGGCGACGAUCCGUAACUGGUCUGAGAGGACGAUCAGCCACACUGGAACUGAGACACGGUCCAGACUCCUACGGGAGGCAGCAGUGGGGAAUAUUGGACAAUGGGCGCAAGCCUGAUCCAGCCAUACCGCGUGGGUGAAGAAGGCCUUCGGGUUGUAAAGCCCUUUUGUUGGGAAAGAAAAGCAGCAGGUUAAUACCCCGCUGUUCUGACGGUACCCAAAGAAUAAGCACCGGCUAACUUCGUG
rnacentral:rRNA from 1 species